rnacentral:rRNA from 1 species
UACGUAGGGGGCAAGCGUUGUCCGGAAUCAUUGGGCGUAAAGAGCGUGUAGGCGGCUUGUUAAGUCAGGGGUGAAAUCCUGGAGCUCAACUCCAGAACUGCCUUUGAUACUGGCGAUCUCGAGUCCGGGAGAGGUGAGUGGAACUGCGAGUGUAGAGGUGAAAUUCGUAGAUAUUCGCAAGAACACCAGUGGCGAAGGCGGCUCACUGGCCCGGUACUGACGCUGAGGUGCGAAAGCGUGGGGAGCAAACAGG